CAGGGAGACAACACAAUGAUUUUGAUGCCUGAGUGUUUUUAUUCUUAGGCCGAAAUCCUGUCACCUUAGGUCGAUCGGUACCUCAGCUUUGAAGUCAAGGAUCAGCAGCAAUGUUGAUUGCUUGAUGGAGAUUUUCAGUUCCUAAACUUUGUCUAGGUCACACCCCAAAAGGGAUGAGACUCCUGGGCCAUUAGCUCAGGUGGUUAGAGCGCACCCCUGAUAAGGGUGAGGUCCCUGGUUCAAGUCCAGGAUGGCCCAUUCGGUGUUGGGGGUUUAGCUCAGUUGGUAGAGCGCCUGCUUUGCAAGCAGGAUGUCAGGAGUUCGAGUCUCCUAACCUCCACUGACCGAACUUGAUUCCCAUCUCCAAUUUUUUGGAGUUGAGCUCGAUUGGAGUGUGAUUUAGAUGUGUCCGCUGGAUGACCCCAGCUUCCUGUCAUUCCAAGUUUUAGGUUUAAGCCUUAAAUUUGGUUGAUAAGAUGCUGGGCUCAGAUCAAAUGAUCAAGGAAUUGAUGAUUUGGUUUGAAGUUCUAGCAGAACCUUGACAACUGCAUAGGUGAGUCUGGAAAAAACAAAGCAUCUUACAGAUGCAUUGUUUUGAAUCUGAUCUUCUGAAAGGGAGAUUGGAUCUAGAACAAUGAAAAUUCUUUUGAGCAAGAGCCGAGACUCUUAAACGUUCUUUGAUUCGUGUCGAGCGAAUCAAAGUUUGAUCUUGUUUUUAGCAAUAAAAACUUGAGAAUCUGCUUUCAACGGCGGUAAGCGUUUAGAGGUUAAUU
rnacentral:tRNA from 1 species